rnacentral:lncRNA from 1 species
GGGGGGGGGUGAUUUGUGUGGUACCUAAUUUUUGCAUUAGAAGAACCCAGUUCUUCUAAGUGAUCUAACUACAGUAGUUUGCAGAAUAAUAAGUACUGAAAGUAAAGUGCACAUAUAUUUUUACGUGAAAAACACCUAGCUCAAAAGGUAAAAAAACCAAGACCUUCUACUUAGCAGGAUUUUCCGAAACUCCACUAAAAUCACUGAGCCAUAAACUGCAUGUACAAAACUCUUUGUAAACCUAAGGAUUAACUCUAAUCCCAGUGUGGCACACAGCCUCAACUGUCAGGACAUUUACUAAAAUCACUGAACCAUAACACCAUUUACAAAACUCUUGUAAACCUAAGGAUUAACUCUAAUCCCAGUGUGGCACACGGCCUCAACUGCUACGACACCUUCAAGUUAACUCUAACUUGAAUACUCAAAGUACCUAAUACAAUUGCUUCUAAGAAAGCUGAAAGGUACAAUUUUAAAACCUACUACUAUUGAACUAGACUUAGAACAAACACAAUGAUGAAACUGGAUCUUCUAUCUUAGUUCAUGUAGCUUCACACGCGCACAUUUGUAUCUCGCAUAUAUUGUUUGCAAAUCAGACUUGCUCUUUCUGCUCUCAAAUAUAAUUAACUUCUGCGUAUGUGCAUUACCUGUAAAAGAGAACACUUUGGUUAUUUAAUAUAUUAAAAGUUAGAGUUUGAUUGAUUCUCCAAUGCUUAUCCUUAGUCGAUUUGAGUCCUUAACCAAUAUAAACUCCCAUCCUUAGCGUGGCUUAGGAUUGUGUUCUCUUAUCAUAAGGAGACUGUCCUCCUUAGAACUCAAUGCAACCUUUUCGAUUCCGUUCAGAAGAUAUUUGCUUUUCAAUCUUUAAUACAUAUCUUCCUCACGUGCCUUCCAUCUGCCAUGGCUAUGACUAACUGCAUUUCCCAAAAUGGACCAGGUCCUUCCCUGUGUUUAUUUGUCAAUCUUCAAAACUUCAACUGAACUUGGGCCAACACAUACUUUCUAUUCAUUGUUGAUUUUAAACCUUUUUAUAGACGUGAUAAAAAUGCAUGUCUUAUAGACAUGAUAUAUAGAUGUUGAAUUUCAUUUAAGGCCCUUGAACAUGAUAUCUAAUUGCGGUUGAUUGAUUAAGACCUAUGAACAUGAUUGCUAGAUGAAAAAUGAAUAUACAAGAUUCACAAAGAACUAUAUGCAUAUUUUCUAUAUGCAUAUGCAGAAUUUAGAAAUACCUAUAGAAAUGGUAUCUAUAUGAGAAAUGCAGAAUUCAGAAAUACCAUUAAGCAGGAUAUCUAUGUGAGAAAUGCACAAUUUCAGAAAUAUCUAUAAGCAUGAAGGAUAUCUAUGUCAGAAAUACAGAAUGUCAGAAAUACCUAUGGGUAGGAUAUCUAUGUGAGAAUGUAGAAUUUCAGAAAUACCUAUAGGGCAUGAUAUCUAUGUGAGAAAUGCAGGAUUUCGGAAAUACUUAUAGGUAGGAUAUCUACCCCUUUUUGCAUACACAAUUACCCGCCCUUUUAACUAGCCAUCCCCAAGAGUUUAUUACAGAUUAUUACAAACCAGAAUAAAGUAAAAGAAUACAUCAAAAAUUAAAAGUACAACCAAGGAGAGCCUGAUUCAGACUUCCUGUCUAAAAUAUGAAUUAAACCAACUUCCAAGAGGUCAUGAUCCAAAGCCUUUAUCCUAUUUGGAUGUGUCAAAGUUCCCUAAGAUCCUAAAAGGGGACUUCGGGCGAUGAUGACACCCCCUACAUUAUCAGGUUAGGACAAGUUCAGUGUGGAAAGUUCCUCAAGUGUCUAAGUUCAGAUGGAGCUCAAAGGGUCCCAAGGAAAUGUUCAUAAGAGGGGCAGAAUAUAAAGAUUAAGAGAAUGUGAAAGCGCAGAAACAUAAUUCUAAAUGGGGGAAUUGAAAGAGGAACAACUGCAGAUAAGAACACAUAAGGGGUUAAGGGGGGAUAGGAAAAUUAAAAGAGGCAAGAGCAGGCCAUGUGGAUACCCACCAGGGGAGAAUGCUAGUACACCCAUGAGCCUGUUAGAACACGCUAUUAGAGGCUGGGAUCCCAAGGGAUCAAGCUUAAUUCAUGGACAAUAAUUUACAUAUUUCCAUGCCUUAAGCCAUAGCUCAAACACAUAGGGGCCAGAGGUUUGGGAUUCAUAAUAGAAGAAGCAGAAAGAGAUUAGCAUACUAAUGUAAGUGUUGAAUUAUGCAGAAUAAAGUAAGUAGACAUAGAUAAAAAGGAUGUAAUUAAACAACAUUGUUGUGGCGCUGAAACUUAAAUGAGGACAUACCAGUUUCAAAGAAACAAAUAGAGAAAAGUAAUAGGUCUUGUAAACAAGCCACAAUGCAGACAAGAAGACAAAAUAUUAUUGCGUAUAAGUGUACGUUUUAGAAAUAUUAAGAAUGAGUCCUUGAGUUUGUGAAAGAGUCGUGCAAAUAUAGUGUGAAAAUCAGGCAGAAAUAAGGUAAGAAAACAGUGAAGGAACUGAUUAUCAAUUCAGAAUUAAUUACGCAAGGCUUCCUUUAAUUAAGGAAUUAAGAUUCAAACGGUAAAAGUUAUCUACGAAAAGAAAUCAAACAAGAUUUUUGUGCAAAGUAGGUAAUUUGGGGUAAAUACAUAAAAAGUUACUUAAAGACAUAAUUUUAAAAUACGCAGUUUUACAAAUAAGGUAAGAAAAUCAAUUAGGAGCAAGUAAAUCAAAGGUCAGAGUUUUGGUAAUUACUGGUCCAUGAAUGAACCAAGAUAGAAAUGCAGAGAAAUUUUUUUAACUUAAGUCGAGUCAUAGGGAAAUCAGUGAACAAGGAAAGAAAUCAAUCAGACCUAUUUAGAAGGAAUUCUGAAAUAAUCGCAAAUUUGAAAGCCAUUUUAGCGGAAAAUUCAACACAUAUAAAUAGCAUAUAAACAUGUUAAGCUGAAAGAAGAUGUCGCGUCAUUGUAAAAUUAGUAGACAAUAGACUACAGGAGCAUGUUUUCACAUCGGUUAGCUGUGUAGAAGAGAAGUAACAUCUAGUAGGAUACAAAAGAUCCAGUGUAAAAGACCUUAGAAGAGUCUAGCAAAAGUCAGAAUCAUAUGAAAAACAAGAAUUUCAAAACGCAGUUCACAGACUCGAAUUGGGUUGAAACUGUUAGGGUUUUGAAAUAAAAUCACUUCAAGAAAAUCACAUAGUCAAUGGUUUCUAAACUUGGAGGUACCCCCAAAUUCUAGAGUUUCUACUAUCAAUAGCAUGCAGAGAUGAGGGGACAAAUAAUUAUGUCAAAAAAACGUUCAGAGGUCUCAGAAAGAACUGAAACCUUUAACAUGUUCCUUCUAGCAACAAAAACUCAUGAGAAACAUGGUAGAAGAGUAACAAGGGAAAUACAGUAGAAGAGUUCAAAGAAAACAUAGUAGACGAAACUAAUACGAAACAUAGUGAAAAAAUUGAUAAGAACAGUAGGAGAAGCAUAUUAAGAAGUAUUAGAAGAAACUUAACAAGAACACAAUAGAGAAAAAUACAAUAGAAAAAACACACAAGAACGCAGUAGCGGAAAAUACACAAGAACACAGUAGAGGACAAAAUACAAGAAUACAAUAGAGGCAAAUACAGUAGAAGAAACACGAAAAAGAAAGAGAAAAUCAGAAAAACAUCUCAAUGUCUCAGAAAAAACCUAGAUCAGAAAAAGAAAUGGUUUUAAAAGUAUAGUUUUUUAAAAGAAAAAUCUAGAAAAUUGUUUAAUAACUUUUAGAAAGCAUAGAUUUUGAACAGAUCUAAAGAGAUCAUAAAAACCUCAAACAUAGGGUUUUCAGAGGAACCCAAAUGGUGAGAAGGCUUGGAUCUAAGCAGGAUGAGUCGAGGCCAGGACCGAAAUUGGCAUGGCUUUCCGGAGUAGGCCGGAGAUGGCUGUAGAACUUGAAUCAACAAAGGUCUGGACCAAUCUUCGUAGUCGAGUCAUGAAAGCUUCAGUUUACCAGACGUGAGGAGCCAUAGGUGGCUUAAUGUGUGGUGAAACCACCAUGAAUUUAGGUCAGAAGGUGGAAGGAGAAGAUGAACAGAACUCAUCGGAGAGGAGGGGAGGGGGAAUGUUCUAGAGAGAAUUAGAAGUAGAGAGAUAAAG